UGAGUCACAGUGACGGGAUCCUCUCGUGUUGCUGGGAAGUGGCAGCGAGCUGAAGCUCCCAGGUGACACAGAUAUGGGAAGGAAAGUCCCCCAGGUCUCAGAUAUGAUGGAAUCAGAGACACAGAAAGACAAACAAACAAAACGGGAAGACUUGCCACGAUUCCGAAAAGUUGUCUAAAUUGGUCUCUAUCGAGUAAUAAAAUCACAGGUACUUCUUCA